CCGAGUCAUCAUAUGUGCAUCUAUAUUGAACAAGUCAAUUGGUCGAGCAAAGUUGAUUUUAUCCAAGUGAAAAAUUUCUUAUUGUGGUCUUCGAUACGUCGUGCUUCUGCUGGCUUUUUUACAUUGCUCGCACACCUUCCCUCACGUAAUAAUACAAGAUUUCGAAAAACCAGAUAGAGCCGGUUAUUUCUGCCUGUUCUUCAGUCAAGCUGGUUGAUGCCCUCGACCGAAAAAGAUUCCAAUGUAUGAACGUUUUAUGCCGUCGUACCAAUUGCUAAUUUUUACUCGGAUUUUUGCUCAUAACUUUUUCACGCAAAGCAUUAACGGCUUGCCACUGUCCAAAUGGUAGUAAAGGAGUUGAACGCUUUUAUCACUGCUUUCCUCAUGAGACGUUUUGUGGAUAUGUGUACAAACUACAUGAUGGUGUUUGCUGCAUCUGAGAACGACUGUGUGAUAAAAAAUUAGCAUAUUAAAACUAAAAAAAAUAGUUAUGUUAUUUGCUCUUGUUAUUUGAUGUAAUAUUAAAUUAUUUGAAAUGUAAA